rnacentral:rRNA from 1 species
GACGUAGGGCGCGAGCGUUGUCCGGAUUUAUUGGGCGUAAAGAGCUCGUAGGCGGCUUGUUGCGUCGACUGUGAAAACCUGCGGCUCAACCGUGUGGUCUGCAGUCGAUACGGGCAGGCUGGAGUUCGGUAGGGGAGACGUGGAAUUCCUGGUGUAGCGGUGAAAUGCGUGACUAUACUAGAGGAACACCGGUGGCGAAAGGCGGUC